AUUGAACGCUGGCGGCAGGCCUAACACAUGCAAGUCGAGCGAGCGGCGGACGGGUGAGUAAUGUCUGGGAAACUGCCUGAUGGAGGGGGAUAACUACUGGAAACGGUAGCUAAUACCGCAUACCAUCAGAUGUGCCCAGAUGGGAUUAGCUAGUAGGUGGGGUAACGGCCUACCUAGGCGACGAUCCCUAGCUGGUCUGAGAGGAUGACCAGCCACACCGGAACUGAGGCACGGGCCAAACUCCCUCGGGAGGCAACAGUGGGGAAUAUUGCCACAUGGGGGCAAGCCUGAUGGAGCCCUGCCGGGGGUGGGAAAGAGGCCUUCGGGUUGUAAAGCACUUUCCGCGGGGAGGCGUUACCCGCAGAAGAAGCACCGGCUAACCCCGUGCCAGCCGCCGCGGUAAUAC
rnacentral:rRNA from 1 species